UGUGCCUUCAGCAGCUCUCCGAGGCCCAUUGGUGUGCCGGGAGCUGGCAGUGGUGCCCACGGAGGCCUGUGCACAGGUAGACCGAGCUGAGGUUCACAGGACUUUGCACCUGCCCGGGUGGACCUCUCUCUGCUCUCACCUGCCUAUCGGCCCACCUGUUGACACCUACUCGGGCAGAAAGCUACAAAUCCACAGAGCACCUCAAGGGAAUAACGACCUCCAGGUGGAGAGUUCGGAUGCGGUCUGCUCCUGAGGCUGUCACGGCUUUUGUUUCAGAAACUACAGAUAAGGUCCACCCAUCCUGGCUCCUGGGAAAACAGCAGGCCUCCUGGGGCACUGACUGGAGAUCUCUGCCUGGGGACAACUGGAGGCACCCGGGCCUUUGUGUUCCAGGGAGAGACAGAUGACCAUCGCCCCUGGGAACAGCUCACUGCCCAGGGCAGGAGCGUUGCAGCUUCUGAAUCUCAAAGCCCUCACCACACCUUGUUUGUCCUCCACCACCCCCUUAUAAAAGGUCUGGCCAGGAAAGAGAAGAGUGGAUGGUCUAUUAGGGUUACAGAAGGACCCUUGUUCACAGCAUUGACCAUCACCCUGGACUGUUCCAAGGGACCAAAGUGCUGGAUGUCACAGUUUGCUCUCCUGCCUGCCAAGGCCUUGGGGUGUGAGUCUGACCAGGAAUUGUCUGGAAGGGCUCAGAGGAAGGAGGUGCUUUGGCCAAAGGGGGUGGGGAGCAGGGUCAAUAACAAUAGGGACUCUCCCCAAGGGUCAGUCCCCAGUCAGGGCACAUGCUUGGGUUGUGGGCCAGGUCCCCAGUGAGGGGCGCUCAAGAGGCAACCACACAUUGAUGUUUCUCUCCCUC